GGAACAUUCGGACCGUGUCGGUCUACCGAGCAACAUCACCCGCUCGGUGGAAGAUCUUCCCUUUGUCGU
rnacentral:pre_miRNA from 1 species